GUGUUAUAUGGAAGGAGAGGUUAGCAGUCGCCAUGACGAGGAUGGAAGAAGCCUGGGGCCUGAUAGCGCAUGUAUGAGUAAAGCGCUGCCACCUGCUUGGUGGCAUCAGGCCAGGGUUUUCA